ensembl:lncRNA
CCCGGCCCGGCCCCCCGCCGCCCCGCACCUGGCUUCACGUCGCAGCCUGGCUGCUUCCCUUUACACAGAAGAAGUGUACCAGAUAUAUCAUGUAUGACUGGAUGGCCAAGUGGUUUGCAGCAGCAAAAGCUCCAGAUGCACAGAGGGAUGAUACCCCCAAGCUGACUUCUGUGAGGCUUGGUGGUCCGCCAGGUUGCAGGGCUCCUGCCUGGCCCAUGGAAACCUGAAAGCCCCACCGGAAAAGAUCUACAUGAAACUCCUGGUAGUCUCAAGACUCUCUGCCUGGACCUUCAGCUGAUGUAGGAUCUCUGGUCAACUACUUAGGUUGACCAAGUUUUCCUGUCGUGUCCAGUACCUCUACCAUGAAGGGAGAUGGAAUAAACAGAGAUAAACCUUCAGGAGCUGUCCCUCCAGGACGUACUCAGCAGGAGAGUGUCCUGAGAAGAGAGUAGAGAAGAAACAGAUGUUUAAAGCAGUCAUCUAUCUGGAGUGACCGAGUUGCACCAGGCAGCUGACUGAGCCCUCAGGAAGACCCCCAGGUUUUCCAAAUGCCCUAACUUACAUCAGUUUGGCGCAGUGCUGUGAUUCACUUUGCACUAAUUGCA